rnacentral:rRNA from 1 species
GGGGGGGCAAGCGUUGUUCGGAUUUAUUGGGCGUAAAGGGCGCGUAGGCGGUCCGGCCAGUCUCUCGUGAAAUCCCAUGGCUUAACCAUGGAAUUGCGGGGGAUACUGCCAGACUUGAGUCCGGGAGAGGAGAGUGGAAUUCCCAGUGUAGCGGUGAAAUGCGUAGAUAUUGGGAGGAACACCGGUGGCGAAGGCGGCUCUCUGGACCGGUACUGACGCUGAGGCGCGAAAGCUAGGGGAGCAAACGGGAUUAGAUACCCCGGGUAGUCCUAGCCGUAAACGAUGAGCACUUGGUGUGGCGGGUAUCGACCCCCCUGCUGUGCCGAAGCUAACGCAUUAAGUGCUCCGCCUGGGGGAGUACGGUCGCAAGGCUG